UACAUGGGGUGCAAACGUUGCUCGGAAUUAUUGGGCGUAAAGCGCACGUAGGCGGUUUGUUAAGUCGGAUGUGAAAGCCCACGGCUCAACCGUGGAGGGUCAUUGGAAACUGGGGAACUUGAGUGCAGAAGAGAAAAGCGGAAUUCCACGUGUAGCGGUGAAAUGCGUAGAGAUGUGGAGGAACACCAGUGGCGAAGGCGGCUUUUUGGUCUGUAACUGACGCUGAGGCGCGAAAGCGUGGGGAGCAAACAGG
rnacentral:rRNA from 1 species